CCAAUAGCGUAUAUUAAAGUUGUUGCAGUUAAAAAGCUCGUAGUUGAACUUCAGGCCUGUCCAGACGGUCCGCCUUAAUUGGUGUGUACUGUCCUUGGGUGGGUCCUACCUUCUGGCGAAGCGGCAUGGCCUUAAUUGGUUGUGUCGGGGAACCAGGACUUUUACUGUGAAAAAAUUAGAGUGUUCAAAGCAGGCAAAUAUGCUCGAAUACAUUAGCAUGGAAUAAUGGAAUAGGACGAUGGUUCUAUUUUGUUGGUUCUAGGACCGUUGUAAUGAUUAAUAGGGAUAGUUGGGGGCAUUAGUAUUCAAUUGUCAGAGGUGAAAUUCUUGGAUUUAUUGAAGACUAACUACUGCGAAAGCAUUUGCCAAGGAUGUUUCCAUUAAUCAAGAACGAAAGUUAGGGGAUCGAAGACGAUCAGAUACCGUCGUAGUCUUAACCAUAAACUAUGCCGACUAGGAAUCGGGCGAUGUUGACAAAAUGACUCGCUCGGCACCUCAUG
rnacentral:rRNA from 1 species